rnacentral:rRNA from 1 species
GGGUUGUGAGGUUAAGCGACUAAGCGUACACGGUGGAUGCCCUGGCAGUCAGAGGCGAUGAAGGACGUGCUAAUCUGCGAUAAGCGUCGGUAAGGUGAUAUGAACCGUUAUAACCGGCGAUUUCCGAAUGGGGAAACCCAGUGUGAUUCGUCACACUAUCAUUAACUGAAUCCAUAGGUUAAUGAGGCGAACCGGGGGAACUGAAACAUCUAAGUACCCCGAGGAAAAGAAAUCAACCGAGAUUCCCCCAGUAGCGGCGAGCGAACGGGGAGCAGCCCAGAGCCUGAAUCAGUGUGUGUGUUAGUGGAAGCGUCUGGAAAGGCGCGCGAUACAGGGUGACAGCCCCGUACACAAAAAUGCACAUGCUGUGAGCUCGAUGAGUAGGGCGGGACACGUGGUAUCCUGUCUGAAUAUGGGGGGACCAUCCUCCAAGGCUAAAUACUCCUGACUGACCGAUAGUGAACCAGUACCGUGAGGGAAAGGCGAAAAGAACCCCGGCGAGGGGAGUGAAAAAGAACCUGAAACCGUGUACGUACAAGCAGUGGGAGCACGCUUAGGCGUGUGACUGCGUACCUUUUGUAUAAUGGGUCAGCGACUUAUAUUCUGUAGCAAGGUUAACCGAAUAGGGGAGCCGAAGGGAAACCGAGUCUUAACUGGGCGUUAAGUUGCAGGGUAUAGACCCGAAACCCGGUGAUCUAGCCAUGGGCAGGUUGAAGGUUGGGUAACACUAACUGGAGGACCGAACCGACUAAUGUUGAAAAAUUAGCGGAUGACUUGUGGCUGGGGGUGAAAGGCCAAUCAAACCGGGAGAUAGCUGGUUCUCCCCGAAAGCUAUUUAGGUAGCGCCUCGUGAAUUCAUCUCCGGGGGUAGAGCACUGUUUCGGCAAGGGGGUCAUCCCGACUUACCAACCCGAUGCAAACUGCGAAUACCGGAGAAUGUUAUCACGGGAGACACACGGCGGGUGCUAACGUCCGUCGUGAAGAGGGAAACAACCCAGACCGCCAGCUAAGGUCCCAAAGUCAUGGUUAAGUGGGAAACGAUGUGGGAAGGCCCAGACAGCCAGGAUGUUGGCUUAGAAGCAGCCAUCAUUUAAAGAAAGCGUAAUAGCUCACUGGUCGAGUCGGCCUGCGCGGAAGAUGUAACGGGGCUAAACCAUGCACCGAAGCUGCGGCAGCGACACUAUGUGUUGUUGGGUAGGGGAGCGUUCUGUAAGCCUGUGAAGGUGUACUGUGAGGUAUGCUGGAGGUAUCAGAAGUGCGAAUGCUGACAUAAGUAACGAUAAAGCGGGUGAAAAGCCCGCUCGCCGGAAGACCAAGGGUUCCUGUCCAACGUUAAUCGGGGCAGGGUGAGUCGACCCCUAAGGCGAGGCCGAAAGGCGUAGUCGAUGGGAAACAGGUUAAUAUUCCUGUACUUGGUGUUACUGCGAAGGGGGGACGGAGAAGGCUAUGUUGGCCGGGCGACGGUUGUCCCGGUUUAAGCGUGUAGGCUGGUUUUCCAGGCAAAUCCGGAAAAUCAAGGCUGAGGCGUGAUGACGAGGCACUACGGUGCUGAAGCAACAAAUGCCCUGCUUCCAGGAAAAGCCUCUAAGCAUCAGGUAACAUCAAAUCGUACCCCAAACCGACACAGGUGGUCAGGUAGAGAAUACCAAGGCGCUUGAGAGAACUCGGGUGAAGGAACUAGGCAAAAUGGUGCCGUAACUUCGGGAGAAGGCACGCUGAUAUGUAGGUGAAGUCCCUCGCGGAUGGAGCUGAAAUCAGUCGAAGAUACCAGCUGGCUGCAACUGUUUAUUAAAAACACAGCACUGUGCAAACACGAAAGUGGACGUAUACGGUGUGACGCCUGCCCGGUGCCGGAAGGUUAAUUGAUGGGGUUAGCGCAAGCGAAGCUCUUGAUCGAAGCCCCGGUAAACGGCGGCCGUAACUAUAACGGUCCUAAGGUAGCGAAAUUCCUUGUCGGGUAAGUUCCGACCUGCACGAAUGGCGUAAUGAUGGCCAGGCUGUCUCCACCCGAGACUCAGUGAAAUUGAACUCGCUGUGAAGAUGCAGUGUACCCGCGGCAAGACGGAAAGACCCCGUGAACCUUUACUAUAGCUUGACACUGAACAUUGAGCCUUGAUGUGUAGGAUAGGUGGGAGGCUUUGAAGUGUGGACGCCAGUCUGCAUGGAGCCGACCUUGAAAUACCACCCUUUAAUGUUUGAUGUUCUAACGUUGACCCGUGAUCCGGGUUGCGGACAGUGUCUGGUGGGUAGUUUGACUGGGGCGGUCUCCUCCUAAAGAGUAACGGAGGAGCACGAAGGUUGGCUAAUCCUGGUCGGACAUCAGGAGGUUAGUGCAAUGGCAUAAGCCAGCUUGACUGCGAGCGUGACGGCGCGAGCAGGUGCGAAAGCAGGUCAUAGUGAUCCGGUGGUUCUGAAUGGAAGGGCCAUCGCUCAACGGAUAAAAGGUACUCCGGGGAUAACAGGCUGAUACCGCCCAAGAGUUCAUAUCGACGGCGGUGUUUGGCACCUCGAUGUCGGCUCAUCACAUCCUGGGGCUGAAGUAGGUCCCAAGGGUAUGGCUGUUCGCCAUUUAAAGUGGUACGCGAGCUGGGUUUAGAACGUCGUGAGACAGUUCGGUCCCUAUCUGCCGUGGGCGCUGGAGAACUGAGGGGGGCUGCUCCUAGUACGAGAGGACCGGAGUGGACGCAUCACUGGUGUUCGGGUUGUCAUGCCAAUGGCACUGCCCGGUAGCUAAAUGCGGAAGAGAUAAGUGCUGAAAGCAUCUAAGCACGAAACUUGCCCCGAGAUGAGUUCUCCCUGACUCCUUGAGAGUCCUGAAGGAACGUUGAAGACGACGACGUUGAUAGGCCGGGUGUGUAAGCGCAGCGAUGCGUUGAGCUAACCGGUACUAAUGAACCGUGAGGCUUAACCUUACAACGCCGAAGGUGUUU